rnacentral:rRNA from 1 species
CGGAGAAUUAGCAAUGAAUUCUUAGUGGCGAACGGGUGAGUAACGCGUAGACAACCUACCUUCUAGAUGGGGACAACACUGCGAAAGUGGUGCUAAUACCGAAUGUUGUGUUUUGAUUGCAUAAUCGAAAUACUAAAGAUGGCCUCUAUUUAUAAGCUAUCGCUAGAAGAUGGGUCUGCGUCUGAUUAGCUAGUUGGUGAGGUAAUGGCUCACCAAGGCAACGAUCAGUAGCCGGUCUGAGAGGAUGAACGGCCACAUUGGGACUGAGACACGGCCCAAACUCCUACGGGAGGCAGCAGUGGGGAAUCUUCCGCAAUGGACGAAAGUCUGACGGAGCAACGCCGCGUGAGUGAAGAAGGUUUUCGGAUCGUAAAACUCUGUUUUCAGGGACGAAUGUGCAGAAUGUAAAUAAUGUUUUGUAAUGACGGUACCUGAGUAGAAAGCCACGGCUAACUACGUGCCAGCAGCCGCGGUAAUACGUAGGUGGCAAGCGUUGUCCGGAAUUAUUGGGCGUAAAGCGCGCGCAGGUGGGAUAAUAAGUCUGGUGUUAAAGUUCGGGGCUCAACCCCGUGAAGCAUUUGGAAACUGUUAUUCUUGAGUGCAGGAGAGGAAAGUGGAAUUCCUAGUGUAGCGGUGAAAUGCGUAGAUAUUAGGAGGAGCACCAGUGGCGAAGGCGACUUUCUGGACUGUGUCUGACACUGAGGCGCGAAAGCCAGGGUAGUGAACGGGAUUAGAUACCCCGGUAAUCCUGGCCGUAAACGAUGGGUACU